rnacentral:rRNA from 1 species
AAGUCCCGCAACGAGCGCAACCCUUGUCCUUAGUUACCAGCACGUUAUGGUGGGCACUCUAAGGAGACUGCCGGUGACAAACCGGAGGAAGGUGGGGAUGACGUCAAGUCAUCAUGGCCCUUACGGCCUGGGCUACACACGUGCUACAAUGGUCGGUACAAAGGGUUGCCAAGCCGCGAGGUGGAGCUAAUCCCAUAAAACCGAUCGUAGUCCGGAUCGCAGUCUGCAACUCGACUGCGUGAAGUCGGAAUCGCUAGUAAUCGUCGUAAUCAGAACUGUCACGGUAGUAAUACGUUCCGGUCUU